CAAGGAGUCUAACAUGCGCGCGAGUCGUUGGGUCGGACACGCUCCGCUAAACCCAUAGGCGCAAUGAAAGUGAAGGCCACCUAAACGGGGCCGAGGGAGGAAGGAGCCCGUCCCCUCGCGGGGAGGCUCCCGCACUCCCGGGGCGUCUGAUUCCUCAUCGCGAGGGAAGGCGCACCCAGAGCGCACACGUUGGGACCCGAAAGAUGGUGAACUAUGCCCGGCCAGGACGAAGUCAGGGGAAACCCUGAUGGAGGUCCGUAGCGAUUCUGACGUGCAAAUCGAUCGUCGGAGCUGGGUAUAGGGGCGAAAGACUAAUCGAAC
rnacentral:rRNA from 1 species